rnacentral:tRNA from 1 species
CUUAACUUAGCUGAGUGGUGGUAAAGUGCCUGGCUUCCGAACCGGGGAUCCUGGGUUCGAAUCCUAGUGAAGA